rnacentral:rRNA from 1 species
UACGUAGGGUGCGAGCGUUGUCCGGAAUUACUGGGCGUAAAGAGCUUGUAGGCGGUUUGUCGCGUCUUCUGUGAAAACUCACAGCUCAACUGUGAGCUUGCAGGGGAUACGGGCAGACUAGAGUACUUCAGGGGAGACUGGAAUUCCUGGUGUAGCGGUGAAAUGCGCAGAGUAUCAGGAGGAACACCGGUGGCGAAAGGCGGGGUCUCUGGGAAGUAACUGACGCUGGAGAAGCG